UCCAAAUAUUUGCCUAAUCCUGUUUUUCAGGAGCGGAGGACCCAAUUUCCCGGGGCGUAUCGCUUAGGCGUAGGGUAGCCUCUUCGGCCCGAGCCCUUCAGCUAACUUCGUAGGCUUCGAUGAGGAGAACU
rnacentral:sRNA from 2 species